UUAAACUAUACACUCUUUAUUAUUAAUGUACAUUUAUGAAAAAUUCUUCACAGUUACAAAAGUGCAUGGUUAUAAAAUCAUCUCCAUACAAAGGUUGGCAUCUUCCCUUUCCCCAUCCCUCCCUAACCCUCCCACCCCCAGACAUCAGCAUUCCACAGGACAAGAGCUUAGAAAAACUGAGAGCUCAGUGAAUCCAGAGCUCUCCAACCCAAAGCUGUGGCAAACAUGGUGGUGAUUUACAUAGGACUUUGCAACUUGCCUCCUUCAUCUCCCUUUUGCCUCCUCUGAGGUGGGUAGAGCAGACAAGAUUCUCUAGCUUUGGGAAAUUGUUCUUCUGAGAAAUGGGCAAAGAUGUCUCCUUAUACUCUUCUAGAGCUGAAAAGAAUGUCAGAGCAAUAUCCACAAAAACAUCUAUAAGGAAAAUGGAGGCUGUAGGUGUUUCCUGAUGGUUGAAGAGAAAUGCCUUUCUUGGGCUAUUCAAACCAUAUGCCAUCUUCCUUGAAAAGAGCUAGCAAACUCUAUAGCAACUCUGGGGACCUAUUUCUGCAGAAUUUCCCGGUACUCCCUAUGGGAAUGGAGAAACAGGUGAGGAUUUGUCUGUUGGUGACUGGAAUCAACUGGUCCAGAGUGGUGUGGUACAGAUUGGGGUCUUUUCUAAAGAACAAUUUUCUUGGUGCACUAUCAUAGCACUGUUGGUUAGCUAAACUUUGAUAUCCUCUGGCCCAGCAUAAAGGAAGCUUCUGUGAUAAGGACAAAUCUCUGAGAGAUAGAGAAUGGAGGGAAGCAGUCAGGCUGUUGCUAGGUUGCCUCAGCCACACAUUUAUCUCUUUUUAUAUUUUUCUGAGCAGUGAUCCCUAACCCAAUCCUAAUGGGAUUCCACUUAUUGUACCAAGUGAUGCAAUGAACAGAUGGUUGAGUAUACUGUGUCAGAGAACUGAACUCAAGUUCCAGAGAGGUUGGCCCCAUAUCAGUAGAUACCCAACGUUCAUGGAACCUCAUGAACAGACACAUUGCCUCAGAGAUGCCCCAAUAUUUACACGUUAACUAGUCUGAAAAAAACUUAUUCAAGGCUUGUAGGAAUAUCUUCAUGGUUUCUUGGUCAGCAGGAUUGUGUGAACAUUUACAACUAGGGCAGUUAUAUUACCUCUAGAGAGGUGUGCUUCUAGAAGCUUGGUUCUGAUAGCCUGCACAAGAGGGUGGUGGUGAUGGGAGACAUGGAAUUCCUUGUCAGGUGAGAAGUUUUAUUAUUGUGCUUUAGCUAACUGGGGACCUUCUAGCUGCUGGAGAAGAAUCUGUUCUUUAAAUGUCAUGUAUCUUACUCAGAAAGAUUUGCCAUUAAUGGGGACAAAUAGUCUUAUUAGAAAGGACAUUUGAAUUCAAGGGGGUAUUAGGUGUCUUGUUUCAUUCUAGUUCUAUGCAAAAAGGUACAUAUCUUAAAAUAUAUUAACUAUAUUUCAGUAAAUAAGAGUCUCUAGGAGAUUAUAAUAGAUGUAUA
rnacentral:lncRNA from 1 species